AGCUCCAUUGGCGUAUAUUAAAGUUGUUGCGGUUAAAAAGCUCGUAGUUGGAUCUGUGUAUCGGACGGUCGGUUCGCCGCCCGCGGUGUUUAACUGACCGGUCCGGACGUCCUGCCGGUGGGACCCGGUUCACGCCGGGGCCCGUAACUCCCUCCGUGCUGCUCUUAACCGAGUGGUACGGUGGGCCGGCACGUUUACUUUGAACAAAUUUGAGUGCUCAAAGCAGGCCUUAUGUUGCCUGAAAAUUGUGUGCAUGGAAUAAUGGAAUAGGACCUUGGUUCUAUUUUGUUGGCUUUUCUGAACUCGAGGUAAUGAUUAAUAGGGACAGACGGGGGCAUUCGUAUUGCGACGUUAGAGGUGAAAUUCUUGGAUCGUCGCAAGACGAACCGAUGCGAAAGCGUUUGCCAAGAAUGUUUUCGCUAAUCAAGAACGAAAGUUAGAGGUUCGAAGGCGAUCAGAUACCGCCCUAGUUCUAACCAUAAACGAUGCCAGCCAGCGAUGCGCCGCAGUUCUUUAAAUGACUCGGCGCGCAGCUUCCGGGAAACCAAAGCUUUUGGGUUCCGGGGGAAGUA
rnacentral:rRNA from 1 species